CCUUAACCACAGUGCUUUGAAAUAUCUCACAUGGGAAGGUUUCUCAAUGAGAAAACAAUUAUGUAAUUCUACUCAUGUUUACCUCACUUCGGUGCGCUUUAAUUUACUAGAAGCUGAGGUACCUCCCAGAAAUCUCUUCAACCCCAAGAUAGAACUUGUGAAUGGAAACAGGGUGAUAUAGAAAAAAAACCACCAGACGCCGAAUAGAAGCGAGGCAAGAUUUUAUUCACAGCCGGGCCAAACCUGACCUCCUGACGUUAAGGAGAAAAGUGCAGAGAGUGGGCCCCGAACAAAGGCAGCGGUGGGCUUAUAUGGAUUUUAGCAAGUCAGAAUACAUCACUAUUUGGUUAACCAAUUACAAUCAGCGGCAUUUCAUGGUAGCCAAUUAUAUUGUGACACAAAGACGUUAGUUUUGGCGGGAACAUAUAAAUUUUGAAGGUCUUUGUCCUAAGAGGGUUUAAAAUGACCAUAGUUAGAUACCUGAGAUGCGGUAGGGCAGUGAGUAUGUGACUUUUUACCUGUUGGUCUUGCCUAGGCCAGACCUUGGUAGAGGGGGUGGGGGAGCGUUUUGCAUCCUAAGUUAUCUAUUUAGUAAGCAGGCGAGGUCACAGAAGUGAGAUAGGGCGGUUAGCAAUUACUGAGAACCCUAAUAGGGAACUACAUAAGCCUUUUAUCUCAACUAUUCAUGAAAGGUGAGUUUAAGCCGAGCUUAUGUACAAUAGGCUUUCUGAUAUCUUAUAAGUUGACCUAUUACAUGAAUGUUGCCAUCAGGUAGGAAACCUGAUGGUUUUAGAUCUAGCACUUUGUGUCAGUUUAGCAAGAGUCAGCUGCCUUUUACUCAUCCGUGUGAAGCUGGCUUCUAGCAAACAGACCUCAUAAAGGCCCCAGAAUCCAUGGAAACUGCUUGCAUCCAGACCCUAAGUUACUGCCCUUCUCCCAAUUAACUUUGCGAGCAAUUCACAUCACAGAUGCCAAGUGGGAAAUACAAAAUGGCACCUCGGAUGCUGCCCUGUUGUCUCUUGGUGCUUCUACCCACGCUGGUACAGCACAGAGAGGACUCAGUGGGCGCCGGGUACACCCGGAUAGCAUUUGGGCUGUUUGCCGGAAAGCUGAGCCUGGUCAACCUCAGAGCCCUGCACCCCCCCCCCCCCCCCUUGCCUUUUAGGAGGUGCAGAUCACGGCCUGACAAAGCCCAUUGAAAUGUAAGCCCCUACCCAGAAGUUCAUGUUUGACUGAUGAAUAUGUCCCAUUGUGAAUCUAGGCGUGUCUCAGUUGCCGGCGGGUAUUCUGUGAAAGGCCUGUUUGUAUAUGCUAAUUGAGAGCAUUUAAGUGUGACAGAGUUGCUGCUUUCUGCCAAGCAGAGAUUGAGAAGUGAGGUUUUCCAGGGCCCAGCGAAAGACCGGAGCCCCCACCACCAGGUGUUUGCGACGCACAGACCACGGAGAAGAAGAGGCUGGAGAGAGAGAGAGAGAGAGAAAGGCAGAGAAAGAGGAAGAAAGAUUCCCAAGCAGGCCCCACACUGUCAGCACGGAGCCCAAUGCGGGCGUUGAACUCACAAAGCUGGAGAUCAUGAACUGAGCAGAAGUCAAGAGUCAGAUGCUUAACCGACUCAUCAACUGAGCCACCCAGGUACGAUCUGUUAACCUUAUCCACAUUCCCCGAUACGCUGAAAAGCCGAGAAGCGGGUGCUCGUAUGGUUUCCUGACUACUAGCUGGGAGCUUAACGUACCACACUUCCACUCAAUUUGAUUCAAUAAAUAGUUAUUGGACUCCUGUUAUGUGCAAAAUAUUAUGCUGGUCUUACAGAAAAUGCUAGAUGACUAAGAGUUCCUGCCCUUGGAGAGGAAGCUGUAGGACAAAUUUACAGAGAACUAUAGGCGAAGGCAACAUCCAGUUAGUGACCUAGGAAGGAUAGGCCAUACAGUGGAGUGGGUGAGCACCAGGGCUCUCAAGGUCGGGUUCAUCUCUCCUACACUCUGGAUGUGACCUAGGACAAGUCACUUAACUGAUCUGUGCCUGAUUCUUCAUCUGUCAGAUGAACAGUAGCCCCUGCCUCAUAGGAGAGGUAGUAAGAUCAGGGAGUUUACUUAAGCUAAGAAGAAGUUAAAAUUAGCUGUCAACUGCUGUCCCACAGUGAGCUAACCCAGCCUCGAGGCCUGACUGACCACAGUCAUCUCUGGGGGUGUACGUUUGUCUGAGAAACACAUCACAGAGGUAAUUGUGAUUCUCCCUCCGCAGUCAUCAUUCAGUUCUUUGUACACAUGUCUCAAGAGGAAAAUCCCUAUCAAGGGCUGUGUAGGGGCUUACAUUUACUUUGGAAUUAUUCCAUUUAUUUUUACUUUUAUGGACCAUUCAAAUUGUAAUCAUCGGUCAGUCAGCUACAUGACUUGGUAACCAAUGAAAUUUGACAAUCUUAGUGGCCUUCCAUUAGAAAGAAUUGCAUAAUAGUCCAUGAAAUUACAAUUUUGAAUUGAAUUCUUGAAACAGGCCUAGAAGCCACAGAAUCAAAGCAAAUGGCAAGUGUGAGUUUAGAAGAGGCAGACCUGUGAAGCCAUGUUCCCAAGGUCUGGAAGCAAGGAUUUUACAGCGGAAUUCACAGGCUUGACAAGGCUUCAGGACAGGGAACUGAAGCAGCCCCCAUUUCCAGCUUUGAUCUGUGUUCUGUUCAAACAAAACACCUUGCUUCCUGAAUGCUGCUUUGGCUUAAUUUCAGCAGAGUAGCAAUUCUUAAUCCAAAACAAUCAAGAAGAAUUUCUACAGUGGUCAAACAGCAUUUUUCUGAGUGCUUGGAAAUCAUGAACGUCCACUGUUGAAAAAUAUUCUCUAGCAAACAAGGCAGAGAACAUGAAUCAAAGUGCCAGACAAUGCCAGGGUCAGUCUCAGUGGCCCUGAAACCAACUAAGACUCCAGUGAAGUACGUGUCUUGAUUCCCUCAGCUGUGAAAUAAGUACAUCAUGCAGCUUCACGCAAAAAUUGAAAAUUGUGCUCUAAUGGGUAUGUGUACGUAUGUGUGUGUAUGUACACGAUUCAUCCGCAUGCCAUGCCAGUCUCGCCCGAAUGAAGCAAAUAAAACUUUGGUUAAUUCUCAGUUUUCAGGUAUUACUCACGAUCUCCUCUCUGCCUCCAAACCACUCUGUCCAUGUUUUCAUUAAUGUGUUCGUCCUAUUGUGAUGUAGUUAGUAAUUUAUCCAUCUUUCUUCCCAGAUCUUUCUCCAUCUUUCUCCCCAUCUUUAUAUUUUCUUUCUUUUUGUUCGUCUUUAUAUUUUCAAAGCCAAAUACAAUACCUGGCAUAUAUUAGGCACUCUAUAAUGUCCAAAGAAUAAAGAUGUGAGCCAAUGUUAAAGCCUAACUAUAGUCUGAUUGGACUGUGACCAGAUACUUUGAAAGAGUAAAUACAUCAUUCACCACACACAGAUUUAAAGGGGUGUGUGAUAGCAUUGCUAGAAGACAAGACGUAGCAGACAGCACUCUUUCCUGGAUGGCAGAGGGAAAAAAAUAUAUACAUAUGCAUCCUCACCUUUAGAUUUGGACAAAAUCGAGGACAAUUUCCAUCCCAAUCAUUUAUUAUCUAAAUUCCUGGUCACCAAGGUCCUUGGAAUGUCAAAGGCAGCACAAAUGUACAUUAUUUAAAAUAUAUUCCUAAAGGUCUUAAGGAUAUUAAUAAGGUCACAGAAAAAGCUAGUGACACAGGUCAACUUAAUUGUUCUCUUUUGUCUACAAAACUUUUCUAUGUGAAAAGAAGUCAUUUGAAUUCUUACCCACCUUAAACCACUAACCCCAUAAGUUUACUGAUACACAUUUAUUUCAAAUUAAUUUUUUAAAUUUUAUUUCUUUUUGAGAGAGAGAAAGAGAGAGAGAGUGUGUGUGAGUGGGUGAGGGGCAGAGAGAGAGGGAGAGAGGGAAUCCCAAGCAGGCUCUGUGUUAUCAGUGCAGAGCCCAGUGCUGGGCUCGAACUCACGAACCAUGAGAUCAUGACCUGAGCCAAAAUCAAGAAUCAGGUGCUUAACCAACUGAGCCACCCUGUUGCCCCGUUUUAAAUUAAUUUAAUGAACAAAAUAAACAGUGCCAAUUAUAUCCCUGAAUUUCAGUUAAGGCUACUACUACUCAUUAAUACAAUGGUAACUUAAAAGGAGAAUUUAUAUACUAAUGGCAUAUUCACAGGCCUAUGUGUUGAAAGGGACUUGCACUUCCAAUGAGAGGAAGAACAUUUUUGCUUGUCAAGCUGGUAGAAAGGAACCAAUUUGAAUUGAUGGGAUGAUUUUAGGAAUGGGCCUUUGGACAAUUGGAUAUAAUUGGUUAAUAUUUUUAGAGCGUUGGGAAUAAGUGGUUAAUAAUUUUUAACAAAGAAAGAAUCCUUGGGUUGGUGACUUUUCCUUUAGUCUGAGAUUCAGUACCAACAAUUUUGUGCUGCUUGCUCAUCAAGGAGAUGGCUGAUGGGGAGUGGGGGAGUGCAGCAUGGGGAGGCCAAAGGCACAGUAAGAGACACCUGCCACACAGCAUCUUAGAAUCUUUGAAGGUCAAGGUAUUAGGACCCAAGAGAAGUAGUUGAGGUCAAGAUCGUGAUUGAUGAGAGCAGGUACUUUUAUUUCUCUGAUGUAAUGACAGCAUCAUUUAGGAAAAAAUGUGAGGUUAUUCUCCUACAUGGACCAGUCCUUGAGGACGUAAAGAAGAGAACGGUGGUACUUGGGAAAUGGGAAAGGGAAGGGGCCUUGACUUAAGGGAAUCAGCUGAAUGUCCUUCACCCCCAAUUUGGGGGGUGACUUAAAAAGUAGGAAGAGCACUAUAAAUGGUGGCCCUUGAAUUUUCUGGAGAGACCAAGGGCCCCACCCAAUCUAGGUGAUGCUCUGCAGUAUGACAGGAACUUUGAUGCUCCCACUGCAGUGCAAUUCUGUUUGGUUAAGAUUCUGUUCAUCUUCUGAAUGGGAACAUCAAGCUGCCAGUCUUUCUAGAUAUUAUUUGCCAAACCACUGUCAUCUCCUGAGCAAGAUUCUUUUCCUUACAUCAAGACACCACUAAGCUUAGGAGAUCUCUAGACAUCUAGACUGGUAGAAGUUGGGGGAUAAAGCUUCCAGAGCUGGUCCUAGCUGAGAACUGAGAGACUAUGUGUCCCUAUUACAUUCUCAGGAAGAUACCAAUACUUGAGGUAACUUGGAUGAGUUCCUUGCAGCUGAAGAAAUCUCACCAGAACAUUGAUUUUUGUAUCCUCAUAUCUGAGCUCCAUUCCUGGUGGCUAGAUUGUAUUUGUUGACUGAAGCUGAAUUGACUUUAACUGACUUUCCCAAACUGUUUUUACCCUUUUGUUAAAGGGGUGAAACCUGGGACGUCUCAACUACUAGAGAAUGUUGCCACUGCUACUGAUGAUGGCAAAGAUGCUUUAAUUAAGCAGCAUUUAAAGUUUUUAGUCCUUUAUUUCAUAGCAACUACCGUGAGGUAGGUGGGAAGCUUUGGUUGCAUAUUCCAGCUUAGGGAGACUUCCAAAUUCUCAGAGGCUAUCUAGGUACUCAAAUUACAUUGAGAUGAAUCCAAAUAUACUUCCUUGCUUUGUUUCAAAGUCCCAUACAGAAAACAACAACAACAAUAACAAAAAACAAAGGAAAAGACUUCAAAAAAUUUCCCCUAACUUUCUCACUUUUGAGAUAUCCUAUUCUAUAUAUAUCUUGCUGAGAGAGUUCAAAUUCACAUAAUUCUAAAAUAGCAUAUUAAAACACUUUUAAAAAUUAGUUGUCACUAGAUUGGUAUUGCCAUAGAGUUAAGGCCAAACCUAUGUCGGCCAUGUCUGCUGCAUCCUUUGUAACGGUGGCUGGCACUCGUUCACUACUAAGUGAAUGAAAAAAAAGUCAGGAUUUCUUUCUUUCUUUCUUUCUUCCUUUCUUCUUUCCUUCCUUC